UCAACUUACAUUUCACAUCUUCCUUCUCUCACAAAUUAGAUCUUUUAGGUUCAAUUGCAGAUUUUAAUUUGUCAUGGUAUCAGAACAGCGAAUCCACAGUUGAUUCACUUAUCAUUGUUGUUGAUCUGCUUCAUGAAAUUCUCUAUUUUUUAUUUGUGAUCUAAAAUUUGGGGGAAAUGGUGGUGAGCACUGAUACGAUCGAAGUAGUUGAGAAAAAUCAAAAUCAUCCUCUGUAUCUUCUGUAAUCUGACACUUCAGGUUCAAUAUUGACUUCAGUUCAUUGGAGAAUCAAUCAUUAUGGAGACGAUCAAUGAUCCUUACUCUUCAAGCUAAAAGCAAAUCUGGAUUUGUCUUUGGUACCUGUAAAAAGAGUGAUUACAGUGCGACAUUAGUAGAACAGUGUGAAAAGUGCAAUGCAUUUGUUUUAUCAUGGAUUCUAAAUCGAUUUCGAAGUAAUUGAUGAGUGGAAUCAUGUACACCAAUGAUGCGGCUACUGUAUGGGCUGACUUAAAAGAGACGUUCGAUAAGGUUGAUAGAUCGAGAGGUUACUAGUUGCAUUGAAAUAUUUGCACUAUCACACAAGGUACUUCCUCUAUUUCUGCAUCUUUCACACGACUAAGACUUCAUUGGGAUGAAGUGGAUGCCCUUGUAGCACCUCCUUCGUGUGGAUGUGAUAAAUCCAUAGUGUAUGCAAGUCACUUGCAAUAUAUGAAAUUGUCUGCAUUUCUGAUGGAACUCAUUGAGUCAUACACUCAAGCACGUAGUCAGAUCCUUAUUAUAAUUCCAUUUCCCUUUGUGAACAAAGCAUAUUCGAUGAUCUUUUCAUAUGAGAGUCAGUGAGUAACAACAGGUUCAUAUUUAGGAGGAGAUUUAGGGAUUUCUAAUGCUUUGUAUGUUGGGAAAGAUAAAAGACAGUACACUGCUGGAGGCUCUUAUUUAGAAGAAGAUACAAGUGUUACUUCAAACACUAGUGGUGGUUCUUAUUAACGAGGAGAUGCAGGUGCCUCUACUUCUACUGCCUUAUAUGCUGGUAGAGAUCACCAACAAUCAAGACUCUACAAUCCAAAAAGGGACUACAAUCUGCAGUGUAGGUUUGCAAAAUAAAGGGCCACACCAUGGAAACAUGUUAUUGUGUUGUUGGACACCCACCAGACUACAAAUUCAGGAAGAAGUGUGAAAAUGCUGCUAACAGGAUAAGCAAAUGUCAAUGCUGUUGAUAAUGAUUCACUUGGCCAAACUCUUCCUACAUUUACACAAGAACAAUAUGGUCAAAUUCUCCAGUUAUUGAACAAGGAGAAUUCUGUGAUCUCAGCAGUCAAUCAAGAAACAGCUGCUAACUGGGAAGGUUAAGGGGAUUGCUAAGGAGACAGGAGGUUUAUAUUUUCUGUUGAAUAAAGAGGUUGGAGAUGGAAGCAAUAUGAAUAUAUCUAGUGCAAAGUUGAUGCAUAUAAAGACCAAUGAAGAUGAAGGCAUGUUAUGGCACAAUAGACUUGGACACCCAUCCUCUACUACCUUUAAGAAACUAAUUUCCAUCAAUGAUAGACUUGUCAAUGAUCGUGUUGUAUGUCCAUUAUCUAAGAAAACAAGUUUACCAUUUCCUAUGUCUACAACUAGAAGUAGUUCUGUAUUUGAAUCUAUACAUAUUGAUGUAUGGGGUCCACAUAAAAUCAGCUCCCAUGUUGGUUUCAAGUAUUUUCUCACUAUUGUUGAUGACUAUUCUAGAAUAACAUGGUUGUAUUUUCUUCGAGUGAAAUUUUAUGUUGUUACUGUUUUGAA